GACGAAUGCUGGCUGCGUGCUUAACACAUGCAAGUCGAACGGUGAAGGGGAGCUUGCUCCCCGGAUCAGUGGCGAACGGGUGAGUAACACGUGGGCAACCUGCCCCUCACUCUGGGAUAACUCCGGGAAACCGGGGCUAAUACCGGAUACGACAGGGAGCGACAUCGCUCCUGGUGGAAAGAACUUCGGUGAGGGAUGGGCCCGCGGCCUAUCAGCGAGUUGGUGGGGUAACGGCCCACCAAGGCGACGACGGGUAGCCGGCCUGCGAGGGCGACCGGCCACACUGGGACUGAGACACGGCCCAGACUCCUACGGGAGGCAGCAGUGGGGAAUAUUGCGCAAUGGGCGAAAGCCUGACGCAGCGACGCAGCGUGAGGGACGAAGGCCUUCGGGUUGUAAACCUCUUUCAGCGGGGACGAAGCGAAAGUGACGGUACCCGCAGAAGAAGCACCGGCUAACUACGUGCCAGCCGCCGCCGUAA
rnacentral:rRNA from 1 species